rnacentral:rRNA from 1 species
UGAUGCAUAUAUACACAUCGACUACGUCGUAUAAAAUUCUAAAUAGAUAAUUGAUUAUGACAGAUUUCUAUUUAUGUGUCUCGACCAAUUCUUGUGCCAGCAGUCGCGGCAACACAAGUGAGACUAGUGUUAUUCAUCUUUAUUAGGUUUAAAGGGUACCUAGACGGUUUUUUUAGCCUGAAAAGUGUACAAAAAAACUAGAGUUUUAUAUGAGAGGUAAAUAUUAGGACUAUUGGUGUAGAGAUGAAAUUUUUUGAUACUAAUUGUAUGUAUAAUGGCGAAGGCGAGCCUCUAUUUAUAAACUGACGUUAAGGGACGAAGGCUUGGGGAGCGAAUAGGAUUAGAUACCCUAGUAGUCCAGGCAGAAAAUUAUGAAUGUUAUAUAUUAAAUGCUUUUAUAAUAAUAUCAUAUUAGAAACGCAGCUAUUAUUUAGUAUUGUAGUUAUUAAAACUAUAUAAUAAUAUAAUAUGCUCUUGUUAAUUAAUGUAUAAAUGAAAGUGUAAGCAUUCCACCUCAAGAGUAAUGUGGCAACGCAGGAACUGAAAUCAUUAGACCGUUUGUGAAACCAGUAGUGAAGUAUGUUAUUUAAUUCGAUGACCCUCGAAAAACCUUACCACAAUUUGAAUAAAACAUGACAAUAUACACGGAUUUACCGUAAAUAACAUGGAUUAAACGACUUAUUUUAUUAAUAGGUUGUUUUUUCAUACAAGCGUUGCACGGCUGUCUUUAGUUAAUGUCGUGAGACUUUGGUUAGAUUCAUUAAAUUAACGUAAACCCUUGCUUCAUCAUAUAGUGAACUAUAGGAUAAUGAAUUUAAAUAAACCCUUAUUUCAUUAGUUUUAUAUUAGCUGGUAAAUAUAAUUAAAACAACUUUUAAAGGGCUGGUAGAUUUAAUUUACUUUUAAAAAAAGGUGGUAAGUAAAGUGUUAAAUUAAAAUUUAAUUUUUAUUUAUCCUAGUUAAUCAUAUAACAUGAUAUGGGCAAAAGGUUGUGUUAAUAGAAGUUAACUGUAGUAUUAAUUAUACAAAGUGGAGUAGUUAGCCGUUAUAUUGGU